rnacentral:rRNA from 1 species
AUUGAACGCUGGCGGCAGGCCUAACACAUGCAAGUCGAACGGUAGCACAGAGAGCUUGCUCUCGGGUGACGGGUGGCGGACGGGUGAGUAAUGUCUGGGAAACUGCCUGAUGGAGGGGGAUAACUACUGGAAACGGUAGCUAAUACCGCAUAACGUCGCAAGACCAAAGAGGGGGACCUUCGGGCCUCUUGCCAUCAGAUGUGCCCAGAUGGGAUUAGCUAGUAGGUGGGGUAACGGCUCACCUAGGCGACGAUCCCUAGCUGGUCUGAGAGGAUGACCAGCCACACUGGAACUGAGACACGGUCCAGACUCCUACGGGAGGCAGCAGUGGGGAAUAUUGCACAAUGGGCGAAAGCCUGAUGCAGCCAUGCCGCGUGUAUGAAGAAGGCCUUCGGGUUGUAAAGUACUUUCAGCGGGGAGGAAGGCGAUAAGGUUAAUAACCUUGUCGAUUGACGUUACCCGCAGAAGAAGCACCGGCUAACUCCGUGCCAGCAGCCGCCGUAAGAC